GUACAUACCUGGUACAUAUUUGCGAUUCUUUGAUCACAAAUAACGUUUUCCCAGGGUGAGGUGAGGUUCAGCCACUGCACCCUGAUUGACUUUUGCAAUUUCCCCAAAUGUGGGAAACUUGAUUGCAUAAUUUGUGGUAGUGUGAGCCUGCAUGCACACUUUCU
rnacentral:snRNA from 1 species